rnacentral:rRNA from 1 species
GUGGGGAAUCUUCCGCAAUGGGCGAAAGCCUGACGGAGCAACGCCGCGUGAGUGAUGACGGCCUUCGGGUUGUAAAGCUCUGUUAUAUGGGACGAACGGGCAUGGGGCAAAUACCCCCAUGCAGUGACGGUACCGUAAGAGAAAGCCACGGCUAACUACGUGCCAGCAGCCGCGGUAAUACGUAGGUGGCAAGCGUUGUCCGGAAUUAUUGGGCGUAAAGGGCGUGUAGGCGGCCAGACAAGUCUGUCUUAAAAGUGCGGGGCUCAACCCCGGGAUGGGAUGGAAACUGUCGGGCUAGAGUGUCGGAGAGGAAAGCGGAAUUCCUAGUGUAGCGGUGAAAUGCGUAGAUAUUAGGAGGAACACCAGUGGCGAAAGCGGCUUUCUGGACGACAACUGACGCUGAGGCGCGAAAGCCAGGGGAGCAAACGGGAUUAGAUACCCGAGUAGUCC